UGAGGAAUAUUGGUCAAUGGGCGAGAGCCUGAACCAGCCAAGUCGCGUGAAGGAUGACGGCCCUACGGGUUGUAAACUUCUUUUGUCAGGGAGCAAUUGGGUCCACGUGUGGGCUUAGCGAGAGUACCUGAAGAAAAAGCAUCGGCUAACUCCGUGCCAGCAGCCGCGGUAAUACGGAGGAUGCGAGCGUUAUCCGGAUUUAUUGGGUUUAAAGGGUGCGUAGGCGGAAUAUCAAGUCAGCGGUAAAAAUUCGGGGCUCAACCCCGUCGUGCCGUUGAAACCGAUGUUCUUGAGUGGGCGAGAAGUAUGCGGAAUGCGUGGUGUAGCGGUGAAAUGCAUAGAUAUCACGCAGAACUCCGAUUGCGAAGGCAGCAUACCGGCGCCCAACUGACGCUGAAGCACGAAGGCGUGGGUAUCGAACAGG
rnacentral:rRNA from 1 species